GCGGCAAGACGGAAAGACCCCGUGAACCUUUACUAUAGCUUGACACUGAGCAUUGAGCCUUGAUGUGUAGGAUAGGUGGGAGGCUUUGAAGUGUGGACGCCAGUCUGCAUGGAGCCGACCUUGAAAUUUUUACACGAUAACGUUAACGUCCGGAGUUGAGCCUUGACAAACGAUUGCGCCUUGCGGCAGCGAGAGCGAAAUGUUAAAAGGUGCCCCUCAAUAAAAACGAUACAGGGGUAGGACGUGAAAAACG
rnacentral:rRNA from 1 species